CCCAUGGCCUAUCUCACUGGUUCUGCAUCCGCCGUCGAAGCACACACGAAACCCCCAAAAUUGGCGAGACGACGAUGGCCGGCCGCGGUGGCGGCGAUGGUCGCCGUCCUCGCGCCGUCUUCAUGGCCUUUGGCACCCAAGGCGACGUCUUCCCCAUCGCUGCGCUUGCUGCAGCUUUUGCGCGUGACCAACAGCAGUACACCGUGGUGUUCAUCACUCAUUCAGCGCACCGGAAACUUUCGACACAUCUAGCGGCCAGUAAUGUCAGAUACAUGCCUGUGUCAAGCCCACCUGUCCUUGCUGCCGAACAACUUGAGAAUGUUUCAUGUGAUUCUUUUCAAUCAAAUCAUGAGCAUCGGUCCUUUUCGCUGCGGAAAAAGAUCAUUCAGAUGGAGCACCGGGAAGAAUGUUUGUCUUCUGUGGAAGAAGUUUUUGGAAAUGAUCCAAGCAUUAAUGGUGAUUUUAUUACGAUCAAUUUCUUUGCUUUGGAAGGCUGGCACCUUGCAGAAUUGUUCCAAGUUAAGUGCAUCAUUGCUGCUCCCUAUUUUGUUCCAUAUAGCGCUCCUACAUCAUUCGAACACCAAUUUAAACAUAGCCUUCCUCUUCUGUACAAGUACUUCCAAGAAGCUCCCCCAAACACGGUCUGCUGGACAGAUAUUGUCCACUGGAUGUGGGCGCUCUUCAUGGAAAGUUGGGGAUCAUGGAGAAAUGAUUGUCUAAAUCUUAGCCCUAUUCCUUUCACAGAUCCAGUAACAAAUCUUCCUUUGUGGCAUGUGCGAGAAGAGUCUCCAUUAUUGCUGUAUGGUUUCAGCAAAGACAUUGUGGAGUGUCCAGGGUAUUGGCCCUCCAGUGCUCAUGUUUGUGGCUUUUGGUUUCUGCCUAUGGCGUGGCAAUUUUCUUGUGACAAAUGCUUGGUGUCGUCUGGAAAUGUCAAUUCUUCACUUGGAGGUGUUCUGUGCGCAAAUCAUUCUGCCCUAGAGAACUUCCUCAUGGGGAAUUAUUAUUCAUCAAGACCUAUAUUUGUAGGAUUAAGUUCCAUUGGUAGCAUGGGUUUUCUUAGAAAUCCUAAAGCAUUCCUAAUGGUUCUUAAGGCUGCCAUAGCGUCGACGGACUACAGAUUCAUCCUUUUCUCAUCUGGAUACCAGCCAUUAGAUUCUGCAAUCCAAUCUAUUGCUUCUUCAGUAGCAGAAUCAAGUGAGGCGGAGGCACCUUCUCUUGGUGUUGACAGCACACUCCUUUUCAAUGGCCGGCUUUUUUGCUUUUCUGGAUCAAUACCCUAUAGCUGGCUCUUCCCUAGAUGCGUAGCUGCUAUUCACCAUGCUGGCAGUGGAUCAACAGCUGCAGCACUACUUGCUGGAAUCCCUCAGGUAGUAUGCCCUUUCGUGCAUGACCAGUUUUACUGGGCAGAGAGGCUACACUGGUUAGGAGUGGCGCCUGAACCCCUACAAAGACAACAUCUAAUCCCGGAAGUAGACGACACCUCAAGCAUUCACAACGCUGCAGAUAUGCUACUUGGAGCUGUUAGGUCAGCAUUAUCAUUGGAAAUUAAAGCUCAGGCGGCCAUACUUGCAGAUAGGCUCUCUUUUGAGGAUGGGAUCGGCGAAGCCCUCAGGAUCUUGAAGGAGAAAGUGCUGACUCAGAAUUAAACUGGAGCAAUAAGAAGUGGGAGAUAUAAUACAGAGCAGCACCAAAUGCAUAAACUGAACUUGGGGCUUGGGCUGCUUGGUGGAUAUCAGCAGAAAUGGCGAAGUAUUGUCCAUCUCGCCCCUGCUCAAGUGAUAUAAAUUGAGAUAAUUUCUAUCAUUUCAAUAUCUCUGAAAAAUCGUCAUAGCUCAUGAUGUGACCUAAUCCUUGUGGCAUCAGAGCAGACCUGUCUUUUUUUCCUUGAAGGGUACAGCUAAGC